GACAUGACGUGUGGCUGUCGUAAAAACCCUAUUUGUAAACAACCAGUCCUUUAACUCGGGGCUGCGUCAUAAACACGGAGCGCUUGGAAGACCACGAUGUCAUCUUCCUUCUGUCAGGAGGAUCAAAGUGAAGCUACAGGAGUUUCAUUAACGUCAACAACUUGGACCAAACAGUUUGUUUUGCUUGAUGAAGAGCAGGAAGGGCAGCCUGGAGAGAAAGAGUAGCCGGGUUGAGCCCACUACCAUCAUCCACGUACCACGAGGAAGAUGAGGGAGAGAAAUGAUCCUACCAUUAAAGAGACUGUGAAAAGAACGUUGAGAACAUCACCACUCUACAGGAAGACACAGUCCAGUAAUGGUUGUCAGAAGUUCAGUAGUGAACGACAGAAACAAACAAUCAAAAUUACCUGCAGAAAGCCCCUGAUGGACGCUUCAGCUGCAUCGUCAGACUGAGAAGCAGUACAGGUGUGCCUCAGCUCCACGGUCCCUCCUGCAGCCUCCGCUCCUGAUGCUAACCUCAUGUCUCCAUCACACCAAGCAGCAGACCUGGAUUGACAGACCUUUCUCCAGAGCUGCCCCCUCCCUCUGAAACCCCCCUCUCCAAAACACUAUUUGUGUAGUUUUUAAAGUAUUUUUUGCAUGAGAAUUGUUGAUCAUAUCAUUUCCAGCAGAUGCCUUAAUAUAAUGUUUGUGCACAAUAAAUGACAUUGUUCAUAA